rnacentral:rRNA from 1 species
UCUAAAGCUAAAUAUAGGCUUGAGACCGAUAGCAAACAAGUACCAUGAGGGAAAGAUGAAAAGGACUUUGAAAAGAGAGUUAAAAGUGCUUGAAAUCGCUGAAAGGGAAGCGAAUGGAACCAGUCUUCUGGCUGAGAUUGUUGCGUGCUACUGUGAUGCCUGGCUGCUUCAACGCAAGUGUGGCAGUUAGAGUUGAUCAGCUGUGCGUGAUGUUUCUCAGCUUGUUAGUCAACCUUUGUUCGUGCUUGGGGAUAACUGCGGGUUCCAUGUUCUUCUCUGCGGAGUUGAGCUCGUGCCUGUAAGGACUCAGGUGUGUACAAUUGGUGACAAAAUGGUUCUCUUCGACCCGUCUUGAAACACGGACCAAGGAGUCUAGCACAUGUGCAAGUUCACAGGUGGCAAGCCUGCUUGCGCAAUGAAGGUGACUGCUGGGAUAUUUGCACCAGCAACCGACCAAUCAAUUGAGAGAAGUUUGAGUAUGAGCAUAUGUGUU